AAAAAAAAAAAAGGCUGCUGCCACCCGUGCUGCAAGCAAAGUUCCGAUUCCCUCUGCUGGCUAGCUGGAAUAGGAGGAGAUCGAACGGCGUCUGCAGCCGAGCAGCCCGCGGAACCGAACCCGAGCGUCCCUGCGCGGCGCCCGGGUGGGGCGCGGCCCCAUCCCUCCCUGCCCUGCACCGACAGCGCUGCCCGCUGCCUUCUCUCCAAUCGCCAAGUUCCCAGAGAGGACACAGAGGACGCUGAAGUAUUGAAGAAAUUCCGAGCAUCUAGUUUGGGUCUCUUUGCAAGGCAGCGGCAAGGCUAAAAUUAGCUGUGCCAGCUGUGUUUUGCUGAAGGGCUCACGCAUGCCCGGAACGUGGGCAGCCAGGCUCCGAGCGCCCCUGCACUAGCCCAAGUCCGCUGGGUUUUCAAGCCUUCCUUUGAGAUAAAAGACUCCUGGUACAAACGCAGUUUCCUCACAAAGAACAAAAUUUGGUACACACGAUGUUACUUUUGUACAAGUCAGACCACCCUGGGACAACCGCCUCGGCUCAGGGCAGCUUAUUUCUGGAUUCUGUGUACCAGCAAAGGCACCCUGUGGAGAAAGAUGCAAUGUGACCAGCUGCCUCACUCCUACCCCGAUGCCUCCUCUGCCCAGAUUCAAUGUGACCAGCUGCCUCACUCCUACCCCGAUGCCUUCUCUGUCCUGAUGGACUGCACUCUCAAACUGUGACAAAAUAAACCCUUCCUCCCUUCAUUUACUUUUGUCAGGUAUUUUGUUACAGCAAUGAGAAGAGUAACUAAUGUACUUGGUGAGGACUUGAUGUGGAGAGAUAAACUGAUGACAGUAAUACAGCAAGGACUCCAUCCAAAUCUUCUGACCUGGGAUCAAAACACCUUCAACUUUAGAUUAUUGUCAUCUUCCAUGACCCACUGAGGUCCUUCAAAUCCUAAAACCAAGAAGAGCAGUAGCCUAGAUUGUGCUCACUAAUUCAGUCACUACAGACAAAGGCUGUGGUAUUUUCAUAUUAAUAACUGAUUGGGAGAUCCCCUGAAGGGAAAAGGAUAUUGUCUUAUUUACAACUGGAAGGCCAAAUAAAUGACUCUUCAAUCAAAGCUACAGCGCACUUAUAUGUAAAGUUCCCAGCAUGUGUGGAUGCUAUCAGCAAUUUCUACACAAAUUGCCACUUUCCAAAAUGCUAUUCUGUUUCAUUGGAUUAUUGUAAUGUGCUGGGUAUCAAUUGUCUUUAGCCUAAGAAUCCUCAUUGCACAUUUAAAGCUUUCCUUAAGUCAUGCAGAGUGGGUUUGUAAGAAUUAUAAAACCUGUGUUGUUCUUUAUUCCCCACCCCCUUAGAGACACUAGUAGCCACGACAAUUUGGGAGGUAAGAUACUCAUAUCUGAACUCGUUUUAUGUCACUUCUCUGUUGGAGUAACGGUGCUUUCUACUUAAAUGAUCGAGUAAAGGUAGCAGGCAACUGUUUUGAAGUACUCUCUAAAUCAGAGGCCAACUGUGCCCCAGUUGCCAAUUAACCAACAAAUUUCAGGGAAAUUCAAGAGCAGCGAAUGGCAUCAAAAGACAUGGGCAUUCACAGGUUCAUGGCAAACUCAGCCUGGGAACCAGGGAAGACAAACUCUCAACUCCUAAGACUAACCAGCUGCCUACACAUCAUGGCGGGAAAAUGAUGGUGCUGAGAUGACUGUCAAAGAGGUAGAGAGACAUCCUCUUUCGGUUUGACCAGAAGAGAAUGCUCUUGACCUAUCCACCUAAAGAAAAGCUGGGUCCUCUUGAGUCAUUUGUUAUUAUUUUUAAUUGUACAGAUUGUGAUAGUUAAGUUUCAUUGCCUUCUAGAAUCACCUAGAAGACAAACCAAGAACAAAUGUGACAGUGUUUCUAGAUUGGGUUAAUUGAGGUGUAAAGGCCUAGCCUAAAUUGGCUGCACCAUUUCAUAGGCUGGAGUCCCAGGCUGAAUGAAGAGGAGAAAGGUAACUGAGCAUCAAUAUUCAUCUCUCUGUCUCCUUACACAGUGUGACCAACUGCCUGGCACUCCUGCCGCAAUGACUUCCCCACCAGGAUGGAUUAUACCCGCGAUCAAUAAACCUUCCUUCCUCCCUUAAGUUGCUACUGUGAGAUAUUUUGCCACAGCAGGAAAAAAGGUAACUAAUACACAGAUUUCGUCAAAGGGAAGCGGCAUGAACAGCAAGCACACAAACGGCAAGCACAUAGAAAAAACAUGGAGUUGUAGUUCUGUAAACCUGGAAAGCAAAAAACGAAUUCAUCACCAGGAAAGAUGUUCAAGGCUUUGAGGUUUUGUUUGGUUUUGAUAUUUUAAAAUGUUGAUUCUUCCUGACCUCUUCAUGCAAAUUGAUGAAAUCUCUUUUCACAUAACUAUUGAGAUGUUAAAUUUGUAAAAG